GAUGAACGCUGGCGGCGUGCUUAAUACAUGCGAGUCGAGCGAACAGACGAUGAGCUUGCUCCUCUGACGUUAGCGGCGGACGGGUGAGUAACACGUGUAUAACCUCCCUAUAAUACGGGUAAAAUUUGGGGAAACCGGAGAUAAUCCGGGAGAAACUAUUGAACCGUAGGGUUAAUUGGGAAAAUACGGUUUUUGUGUCUCUUCUCGAUGGUUCCGCGCUGCUUUAGCGAGUUGGUAAGGUAACGGCUUACCAAGGGAAGGAUGCGUAGGCGACCUGACAGGGUGAUCGGCCACACUGGAACUGAGACACGGUCCAGACUCCUACGGGAGGCAGCAGUAGGGAAUCUUCCGCAAUGGGCGAAAGCCUGACGGAGCAACGCCGCGUGAGUGAUGAAGGUCUUCGGAUCGUAAAACUCUGUUAUUAGGGAAGAACAAAUGUGUAAGUAACUAUGCACGUCUUGACGGUACCUAAUCAGAAAGCCAUGGCUAACUACGUG
rnacentral:rRNA from 1 species